UNGGACUAGGCUCAUCCUCUCCCACAGAUGC
rnacentral:piRNA from 1 species